rnacentral:rRNA from 1 species
GACAGAGGAUGCAAGCGUUAUCCGGAAUGAUUGGGCGUAAAGCGUCUGUAGGUGGCUUUUUAAGUCCGCCGUCAAAUCCCGAGGGCUCAACCCGUGGACAGGCGGUGGAAACUACCAAGCUGGAGUACGGUAGGGGCAGAGGGAAUUUCCGGUGGAGCGGUGAAAGUGCGUAGAGGUCGGAAGAACACCAACGGCGAAAGCACUCUGCUGGGCCGAC